GCGUGAGAAUCUGCCCUCAGGAGGGGGAUAACGGUUGGAAACGACCGCUAAUACCCCAUAUGCCGAGAGGUGAAAUGAAAUUCGCCUGAGGAUGAACUCGCGUCUGAUUAGCUAGUUGGUAGGGUAAAGGCCUACCAAGGCAUUGAUCAGUAGCUGGUCUGAGAGGAUGAUCAGCCACACUGGGACUGAGACAUGGCCCAGACUCCUACGGGAGGCAGCAGUGGGGAAUUUUCCGCAAUGGGCGCAAGCCUGACGGAGCAAUGCCGCGUGAGGGAUGAAGGCCUCUGGGCUGUAAACCUCUUUUAUCAAGGAAGAAGAACUGACGGUACUUGAUGAAUAAGCCACGGCUAAUUCCGUGCCAGCAGCCGCGGUAAUACGGGAGUGGCAAGCGUUAUCCGGAAUUAUUGGGGGUAAAGCGUCCGCAGGCGGUUUUACAAGUCUGUCGUUAAAGCGUGGAGCUCAACUCCAUUUCAGCGAUGGAAACUGUAAGACUCGAGUGUGGUAGGGGCAGAGGGAAUUCCCGGUGUAGCGGUGAAAUGCGUAGAUAUCGGGAAGAACACCAGUGGCGAAAGCGCUCUGCUGGGCCAUAACUGACGCUCAUGGACGAAAGCCAGGGGAGCGAAAGGGAUUA
rnacentral:rRNA from 1 species